GGACGAACGCUGGCGGCGUGCUUACCACAUGCAAGUCGAACGAUGAAGAAGAGAAACGCGAACUUCGGUUCACAUUUCACUUCGGAUUAGUGGCAGACGGGUGGGUAACGCGUGAGCAACCUACCUCUUACAAAGGGAUAGCCUCGGGAAACCGUGAUUAAUACCAUAUGACACAUUCAUAAGGCAUCUUAAGAAUGUUAAAGCUACGGCGGUAAGAGAUGGGCUCGCGUCCCAUUAGCUAGUUGGUGAGGUAACGGCCCACCAAGGCGACGAUGGGUAACCGGCCUGAGAGGGUGAACGGUCACAUUGGAACUGAGACACGGUCCAAACUCCUACGGGAGGCAGCAGUGGGGAAUAUUGCACAAUGGAGGGAACUCUGAUGCAGCGACGCCGCGUGAGCGAUGAAGGAAUUCGUUUCGUAAAGCUCUGUUCUAUGGGAAGAAAAGGACUGUACCAUAGGAGAAAGCCCCGGCUAAAUACGUG
rnacentral:rRNA from 1 species